GCUGGCUGAGACCCCCCCUGGGGGUUGGCUGGGUGUGGGGCUGGGAGCCGAGGUGCCGGGCUGGGCCCCUCACCUGCUACAAUGAUCUGCACAGGGUCGCUGGGCUCCGAGUAGCGACUAGGUCCUGUUGUGUUGCUAUAACGACAGGUGUAGCUGCCCCCAUGUUUCCGUCUGGCGCUGGGGAUGAGAAAUUCAGCCUCAGAGCCAGCAGGGUCCGUGUACCUCAGAUAGUUCCCGUCUCCAUCCUUGUAGAGGAGGAACCUCAUGCCCAGGCGCUGAUGCCAACACUGGAUGGUGACGUUUCCCCCCACGGGGAUCACCCCACCGGGGCUGACGGAGAUGGAGGGUUUGGGGAGGGACCCCUCUGGAUUCACAAACAAACAGGCAGUAAGUCGGGGUGACACAAACCGCGUCCGUCUGACACAGCAGGGGGGAAGGAGAUUUCCCGUCUCAGAUUCCUUCAUUUCUCCAGGGUCAAUUCAGCCC